CACAGACACCAAGGGACGACUGCAUUACUUUCAUAAUCGGAAUGCUUUCGAGAAUGUCAGGCUCCUCCUUCCCCUCAAUUCUUGAAAUACACUGUGAAAGAAAUAGCAUUUUAUACAUCGAUAUGUUGAAAAAUAAUAACCCCAGUGUCGCAUGAAGGAACUCAUGAAUAAAGUAAAAGUAACUUGAAAGGCUAAUUUCUUUUUUGUAAGCAGGCUGUCUACAGAACCCACAAUGGGCCAUUGAGCACACAGAGCCAUGAUAGCAUCUGUCAUUUAAUACUUGACGGAGAUGGCGAUUGUGUCUCACCCCAUUGGUGGAAGCUUGACUUUACAGUCUGAAGUGAUUGGCUAACCAGGGCAAAGGGAAGGAGAAUCAGAGAACAUGGACCCUUGUUAGGCUAAUUACUGUUGAUAGAAAAAAGCUGCCCCACGCCCGAAACAAGCACAAAAGAGGCUUCCUAGCUACCAACCCUCAUCAUCUUUCCUCUUCACUCUCAUCCCCUCAACCUCAAUCAAUAUCAUAAUGAUACAGUAGAUAUUGGGUUUGGUGACAAUCUCAGGAGGGGUCUGAAUCAAAUAAAAUCAUGAAGUUAUGUAGAUAGUAGCAAACUAAAUGAGAGACUUUUAUUAAGAAAGCAUACAUUUCCAAAGGAGGGCGCCUGCAACUAGGGGACAGCAGUUUCAAGGGCUCCAUUUUAAAUUGCCCCCCAUGGGCAUUUUGGUGUUAUGAUGAGCCACAGGCUUGGACACUGGCAUUCUUAUGCCUUCACCCGUGGCUACAUUUUAGUGGUCGUUACAGGAGGCACGUGAGCCUUCUUCAUCAGUUUUUUGUUUUUGUUUUUGUUUUCCAUGUAUUAAUUUAGUAAGGCUUGGCCCAAGGUCUUCUGGACCUGGCUUUCUAUUCUCCUUCCUCAAAAAUUUCUCCCGUGAUUAUGACUUCAGAAGUCCCUGAGUCCUCUUCACCAGAAUCCUCCCUCUGAGCAUCGAGCAGUGGCUGCUACCACAUGGCCGUUGGUUAAAGUGCACUUCAUCUACCUUAAACCAACGCAGGAAGGCCCUGCUCACCCAGCUCCCGCUCAAGCUGCUGCCGACUCAGCUUUCUCAUAGUGAUGAUAAGGAGCAAUCUCCGUUAACUCUGUUAACAGGGUUAUCUGUACCUUCCCUGGUCUUCUCAAGCAGCUGUCCUCACGCUCCUCUUUAACAAGAAUCCUUCCUCUCUGAGGCCGGCACACCCCAUCCAUGGCCAUCACUUAGGCAAGGGCAUCUCAGCUCUAUUCUCUUCACUCGCUGGCCUAGGUCUUCACAUCAGCCGGGUGGGGCAUGCGCUCUUCUUGCUGUCGCUAUUUCAUAGUAACUUGCUCCCACCGCAGAUCUGAGCUUGUACGGUGAGCUGAGAUUUCACCCAGGCAGGAUAAAGCCUAAAAUCUCCUGGAUAAUUUCCACUGGACUCACCCAGAGACCAGGUGUAUUCUAAGAGCUUCUCUGCCAUCGCACAGAGCCUGGAGAAAUAAAAAGCAUUCGGUUUUUCCGAAGUACAAAGAGUGAACUCUGACAACGCUGUCUCGUUACUUCUCUCCUACGGUGGCGUCCCAUGGUGAACAUUGUCAGCUCAACAACAUAUAUAAAGUAAUUAUUUUUUUUAAGGGCAAUUGCUAGUGAGCAGAGUGGAAGCAAGAGGCUGGCUUCCUGACUCUUAGCUAAUAACCCUAAGAAGGAUGGCUGGGCUAGUCCCUGCAUAGAGACCUCUGUGCCCAGAGGGCCUUUACAUUUCUCUCCUGCUAGAACUCCUACUUCCUCCCCUCUGCUUCUCCCUCGUCUGUUCUUCCUCACACUCUUUUUGCUCCUUCUCCUUCUCUCCCCCUCUCCUCCUUAGUCUCAAGCCCUCUCACCAAAGAAAGUCUUCCUGGGGACAGUCAGUGUGCACAACAGAUUUGAAACAGCUGCUCCUCCUGCUGCCAGUGGGUGGGGAGCCGGGAGCCUGCCUCCUGUCCCCUGCUUGCUACAUUCCUGCUCUCUGCCUCAGAAAUCUGAACAGACCUGUUUAAAGGACCAAGUGGGUGGUGUGUGCACGUGUGGGCAUGCAUCCCUGUUUAGAGAUGGGAUGGAGAAAAGGUAAUUUUAUGGUUCAUUAAAAAAGAAAGAAAGAAAAAUAGAGAGAGAGAGAACAUGCUCAAAGCUCCUCCCCAUUUUCUCUCUAAACUGCUGAUUUUUUUGUUCUGGGCUCCCUAGAACUGGGGUUCACUUGUAAGCCAACAAACACUUAUAGUCCUGGCCAGGAUGCAUUCCUGCUGAGAGCUCACAGCAGCCACAAGAAAGCUGCAGCUGACCUGACUGUCUGUCCUUUUCCUGAGAGGGAAUGCAAACUUGCAGACUUUCAUCUGAUUAGUUGCCUGAACUUCAGCAGAAAUACUUUUACUGUCCUGGUUGCUUCUUGCAGGAGGCCUGCUGGUACCCUGUUCUCAUCGGAUCUCCACAUAGUCACACUGGGUAGCAUGCCCUUUCUGCAUUAUACCUGGAAGCAUGCCCUUUCUGAGGCAGCCAGAGUUUGUAACAUCAACACAGAGUUGUUUGGUAAAAGCGGGAGUCUGCAGAGACCACCAAAUGACGAAAGCUGCAUAAACAGUUGUGGGUGGCUCUGAGUGCUGUGAAUUAUCUGAAACCCAUCACUAGGGGAGGAAGCUGAGACCUGGACCCUCCCGAGAUGAGCGAAUGGUUAUUGUUAUCUCAGAUGCUUCUCACAUUGUGGGCUCCUCAGUUAAUAUGAGUCAUAAAAGAAGUGUUUUAUAGGAAGUAGACUUUUUUAAGUUAACAACUACAUGUAACAUUCAGCCAAAUU
rnacentral:lncRNA from 1 species